UACGGAGGGUGCAAGCGUUAUCCGGAUUCACUGGGUUUAAAGGGUGCGUAGGCGGACAGGUAAGUCAGUGGUGAAAUCUCUGGGCUUAACCCGAAAACUGCCAUUGAUACUAUCUGUCUUGAAUAUUGUGGAGGUAAGCGGAAUAUGUCAUGUAGCGGUGAAAUGCUUAGAUAUGACAUAGAACACCCAUUGCGAAGACAGCUUACUACGCAUAUAUUGACGCUGAUGCACGAAAGCGUGGGGAGCAAACAGG
rnacentral:rRNA from 1 species